GUUCCAACAAAAAGAUGACCACAGUGGAAAGCAGAAAGCAGAAGUGAGCUUCAAUUAUAUUGCACCAGCACACAUUGUCAUAUACAACUGGACGACAAGAGGUCGUUGGCAUCCAGUAUCUAUGUUUGUACGGGUAGGUCCACUAAGAAGAUAAACACUUCAUACCAAAAAGGUCCUGCGUUAAUCCAAAACCUCUGGUCCUUGA
rnacentral:misc_RNA from 1 species